ACUCCUACGGGAGGCAGCAGUGGGGAAUAUUGCACAAUGGGCGCAAGCCUGAUGCAGCCAUGCCGCGUGUAUGAAGAAGGCCUUCGGGUUGUAAAGUACUUUCAGCAGUGAGGAAGGUGGGUAUGUUAAUAGCAUAUUCAUUUGACGUUAGCUGCAGAAGAAGCACCGGCUAACUCCGUGCCAGCAGCCGCGGUAAUACGGAGGGUGCGAGCGUUAUCCGGAAUUAUUGGGUUUAAAGGGUCCGUAGGCGGGCCGGUAAGUCAGGGGUGAAAGUCUGUAGCUCAACUAUAGAACUGCCUUUGAUACUGCCGGUCUUGAGUCACGGUGAAGUUGCCGGAAUAUGUGGUGUAGCGGUGAAAUGCAUAGAUAUCACAUAGAACACCGAUUGCGAAGGCAGGUGACUAACCGUGUACUGACGCUGAUGGACGAAAGCGUGGGGAGCGAACAGGAUUAGAUACCCUGUAGGAUAGCG
rnacentral:rRNA from 1 species